UACAAUAGGUUGUGUGGUGCAGGCAUGCUCCUGCAUCUGGAGCGCUGAGCAGCAGUAGAUAAGGCACGCAUUUUCCAUCGUGCCAGAGUCCGCACCACUCCCUAAUGUCUGCCAUGUCUCACUAUUGUUGUUUUUGCCAGGCGCUCUGAGCAUUCAAGUGUGCAGGUCCUGCCAUUGCCAUGAUUUUGGAACAUUUCCCUCAGCGCCAUCUGAUUGGAUCCUUAGUUAAGCUGCCUUCACGGAGAACUCUAGCCGGUGCCAGAGGAGAUGAGAUGCUGUCUUUCCACCUCAACGUAAGCCACCUGAGAGCCAGAGCUUUGCGUCACAUUACAGGUCCUCAAGCCCUGCAGAGCGCCUGGUGUGGGCUCACCGAGUACAGUGGGCUGAGUCCUUCCUAGGGGUGACUCUCCACCAGCCCGAGCACAUUGGCCAACUUGAAGGCUCGGCCCUGAAUGAUGAGGACAGAUGUAAACCGAAGCCAGGCAGGAGAUGCCUCUCGCAUCUCCGGGCAGAGAGGAAGAUCGGAGGCUUCAUAUGUUUCCCUAAGCAAGGUCUGCCUACCCUGGAGGACCCUUUCACUCUCCGGCAGGCCAGGCACAUAUUCUACUAGUAGUUCCCAAGACAGACUGCAUGCCCUUUUGAAAAAAGCCCUAGAUGAUUGGUUCUAAAACUCACUGCCUGGCCAGAGCUGAUCAGUGGCCCUGCAGAGUAGCUGGAUUCUGUGGCCUCAGUCAGGCCAGGGAGCUUCUGGGGGAUGAGCUGAAAGCCAGCAGGUACUGCCCUCCCAGGGGCCCAGAAUGCCCCCUGCGCAGCCUCACAUAGCCCGGCUGUGCCUGGCACGUUGCUGACCUUCGGAAAGGUACAUUUCGUCUUGGCCACAGCAGUUCUGGUGUUCCAUCCUUGCCCUAGAGUCCACUGCUGAUGGCUUUUGCAGUGGAAAAGCAGGCAGCUGACACCAGCCUGAGCUCCUGGUGUCUCUGUAAAAUGAGUGGGGACAGUUGGGUGAGUCCCAUGCUUCAUCCAUCGAAGUUCCACCUUUGAGAGUGAGGAUUAGCAGAUGGUCUGACAUGACUUAAUGGUGAGUGGUCAAUGUCAAGGAGAGCCAAGUUUCAUUUAUUUGUCCAAAUACAGGCAUGAUCAAGAAUAAGGUCAUGAUUUACAGCACUGAUUAUAGAAAUUCCUCUGAUCAUUUGAUUAGGUUACUGGAAUUUGAAUGUCUAUGAAGCUUUACUUUCAGAGUUCCCUCCUGUCUCCUCCCAGUGUGCCCAGACCACAAUGACAAGAGUGCCCCAGAUUCCUGAAAUCACACCCAAACACGCAUACCUCUGUACAUGAUGGUUUGUUCACCUUAAGAAUCUAGAACACAGUACUGACAGAGAUACGAGAACGUAGUUUGAGAUGGGAUAGAGAUUUCUGCCUGGUUGUUCUGGACCACUGAUCUGAAACAAUUCUCGUGUUAUCUAAGAGUUUCCGUAAUUGUAGCAAUGAUCUCGGAAAGACCUUUGUCCACAUUGAUCUGGAUGAAAUUUUCUGGAGCUGAUGGGGGCUCCAGAGUAUCAAACUGGGACUGCAGUAACUCAGGGGGCAUAAAAUGUCCUUUUCUCUUGAGUAAGCGUCCAGAGAUGACCUCAAACGACCCACUCAGGUAGACCACAAGGAGCUUCACUUCAGGUGGCUGUUUGUCCUUCCCCAUCCAAUCACACUUCAGAGGCGUGCCAUCCUUUCCUCGCAUUAAGAUGUCUCUGUACAUUUUCUUCAGAGCUGAACAGGCCAGAACCACAUGCUGUCCAGAGGCUACAUCUCUGUUAAAAGGGGGAGGGGAGGAACUAAAGAAUGAAGACAUUUAAAAUAACUGGUGUCAAUUCUAGGUUGAGGACUCUGGUCCUAACUUCUCUGGCCAGUGAGAGGCAUUACAAAAUGGUGGUCAAGCAUCAGGCAGUCCUGGCUUUGAGGUAAAGAUCUUCCAGUAGUGAAAUGAGCCGGCUUGGGCAGGUGAUUUACCUCCCCGAGUGUCAGUUCAUCAUCUGUUAAACGAGGCUGCUUAGAGGGCCUGUCCAUACAAGUGUAGGGAGGAACAGUUUAUCAAGGUGGCCAGUACACAGGGAGUGCUUGGUAGGCGUCAGUAUAGGACGUGACCCAGCCAAAGCCUGUGGACAUGGUGGCUGCCGGUGGGUACCUGUACCCCACACACCUCGGUUCUCCACAGGUGUUGAGUGGUUUGAAUUUCACAACCAGCUCCUUCCCAUCCCUACUCUACAAUGUGCUGGAAGAGUCUGGUCAAGUUACCAGUGCAGAGCUGGAGAAAGGAGAAAAGGGAGUAUCAGACUCUGGGUGGUCAAGGUGAGCAGGAUAUGAGAAGCUUCCAGAGAUGUGCCAAGAAAAAAACCUGAGCCAGAAAUAGAGGCAGAGUGACAAGCACCAAAAAGGGAAGACCAGCAUGCCUGGAGACUGGCACUCCCACCCAGCUGCGGUGGGCCCGUCCGUGGUCAGGAGAGGCAGUCAUCCUGGGGCUGGGAAGGGAGGCCAGGAAAGAGGUGAAGGGUAAGCCCUGGCUCGGAUCCUUAGAAGGUUUGCUUCCGAACUGAGAGUUCUGGAGAGGUCUGCCCUUGCUCUGUGGCCAUGACACCUGAGACCCAGCGGGGGGAGCGUAUCAUCAGCAACCGACUUCUAUGAACUCACACCUGAGGCUUCUGGCUCUUCCACUCACAAGCCAUGGGCAAGAGCUUGUUUAUUCUGAGUCUGCAUGUCUGAUACCUGCUCUCCUGAGGAUCUUCAUUUCUGCCUCCAUCACAGGUCAGUGUGUUCGAUCUCUGACGAGUCUGUGUGUGUUAGAGACCCAAGUGGUGGGGGUUCUCAAGCUCCGAAACCCUAAGCCCCUGGACUGUAAGCCCAUGCAAAGACAGGGCUGCCAGCCACGUCAGUGUGGUGUGUGUGAGAAGAGUAAACUGAACUUUUCAUCUUCCAUACUUUCUAAUUGCCUAUGGUGCGGAUGGUUCUAGAUUUGUAAAAAAUUAAAUUUCAACUUCAUUUUAGAAAGCAAGAGUUGUAAGCCAUCCCCUGCCUUUUCUCUUUCUCCACAUCUCAACCAGGAUUCCCGGGGACAGGUCCACAGAUGGGUGGAGGGGACCUCCUUGGCUCUGAAGCCUGAUGUAGAGCAGGACAAUUUAAGACUCCAGGUCUGGUGACCCAGUUAUCUGUUGACUUUCAAAUGACCCUGGGUCUUCCCUGCUUAGCACAGCUUGAAAUGGGGGGAAGAAAACGUGGUGAUGUGGCUGUAAGUGCCACCCAUGCCUCAUCUUACUAAUUCUUACACAAUCUGAGUAGGAACCAUAUUUGUCCCCAUUUUCAAAUGAAGAAGUAGGCUUGUGGAGGCCAAGUGGCUGACCAAGACUCCCAGAUAAUAAUUGUGGAACUGUCUAGAAGGUUUGUCUCAAGAACCCAACUGAAUUCCCUGUCUGUGGCUGAUUAAAAUCAUCGUUGGUUACUUAACGGAAGUGCCCUCCAUUACUGGGAUCCUUUAUCAUCAGUGAGUCAUGAUUUCCAGAGUGUAUUUUUCCCCCUCUACUCUCUGAUGAAUUUUCUUUUAAGGCCUGAUGCUCUCUUACCUUAGUAAAAUGUCAUGUAAGUUGCAGAGCCACGGAAUCCUGUCCUGAAAUUAAAGAUAUCAAGUGACUUUU